UACGUAGGGUGCAAGCGUUGUCCGGAAUUAUUGGGCGUAAAGAGCUCGUAGGCGGUCUGUCGCGUCGGAUGUGAAAAUCCAGGGCUCAACCCUGGACCUGCAUUCGAUACGGGCAGACUAGAGUUCGGCAGGGGAGACUGGAAUUCCUGGUGUAGCGGUGAAAUGCGCAGAUAUCAGGAGGAACACCGGUGGCGAAGGCGGGUCUCUGGGCCGAUACUGACGCUGAGGAGCGAAAGCGUGGGGAGCGAACGGG
rnacentral:rRNA from 1 species